CCUGGCGGCCUUAGCGCGGUGGUCCCACCUGACCCCAUGCCGAACUCAGAAGUGAAACGCCGCAGCGCCGAUGGUAGUGUGGGGUCUCCCCAUGCGAGAGUAGGGAACUGCCAGGC
rnacentral:rRNA from 3 species